GAAGAGGGUGGCAGCCCCCAGGGAGCAACCCAAGCUCAGUAGCUUCCCACAUCACCUACUGAACAAACAGACAUGUUUUGCAGCCCACAUACGGUUGUCGGCUGCGUAGAAACUCCUACAAUCACUUCAAAAGCGUCCCAAAAUCUCAAACGCAAAAGAGGCCCGACCAAGCUGAAAACCAUUGCUGUAGAUGGAAGUACUCGGAUUGAAGUUAUGUUUGAUGAGAAUGGUCAACCAAUAGGUGAGGGAUCAAUCAAGUUGUCUUCUUUCUUGGGACCUCUAGUUCGAGAGAUUGUACCAUAUACACUUUCGGAUUGGUAAAAACUUCCUUCAGGAAUGGCAGAAAUCCUAUGGCAAUGCAUUAAGGUAAGAUUCAAUCUUCAUGAAGAAUGGCAUAGACAAAUGGUUUUCCGGAGAAUGAAUGAAGAUUGGAGAGCCUCAAAGUCGAUAUUAGUAAAAAAAAUGAAAUGCUUCAAAUGAGGAGGAAAGGCUAAAGCUACAGCCUGAUAAUGUCAAAUCACUGCAUGAUUGGAAGAAUUUUGUGAAGGAAAAGACUAGUGAACAAUUCAAGGUGACAAGCGAGAACUUUAAAGAUAUGAGAAGGAAACAGUUGGAGCUGCAGCAUACUAUGAGUCAUAAGGAAUAUGCACUGUUGACUGCUGAACUGAAAAAGAAAAGAAAAGUGACCUCCAUAAGUAGAGCCGUUGUUUGGGCCGAUGGACAUAGAGACAAGAAUGGUAAACCCAAGAACAAAAAUGUUGCUCAAAAGAUUGAAGAUAUGGGAAAAAUUGAACGGAAUGGACAGAAUUCAACUAAUCUGAAAAAAGAUGCUGUUUCUAAAGUGCUUGGUGCUGAAGGGCGUGGCCAUUUAAGAACAUUUGGAAAAGGAGUCACACUAACAAGAUUAACUAUAUUAUCACAAAUGAAUGGUUAGUUUGCUCAAUUACAUGAAGAAAAUGCUAAGAUGAAGUCUCAAAUGUCGCAUAUGCAAAAUAUAGUUGACGAGUUCAAGAAAAGCCAAGUAAGUCGGUUAUCAUUUUCUUCCUUGGUGGUCAUUUCGGACUAGUUUGAUUAAUGACAUUUUAUUUGUUUCCCGUUGUUGAACUUUCUAGGUUCAGAAUCCAGUGACAAAUGAAGCAACACCUACACCCAUUAUUUCUCCCUCGGUAAGAAGUCAUCCUCAGAGUGACAUUACCCAGUGCAAGUUGCUAGAUUGGAUGGGGACAGGAGACGUAGUUGCUGAGGGGCGUUGGGCUUCAAGUGAUCCAACUUCAUGUGCUCAUUGUAUUCCGAUUGGACCUAAUGCAAUGAAAAUUUGGGUGGAUGUAGCAAAGAAAACUGAAGUGUAUCUAUGGAGGGCUCGAAGUGAUAUGAUCUAUAUCAAAGAUGUUGUGGGAACUACCAUCGCAUGGCCUGCUGACUUUGUUAUUAUGGACUCUUCUUCGCCAGGGUAUUAUACUUUUAUUCUCUCCUCCAUAUCGAAGUAUUCUCUCGGAUGAUAAAUGUAUGCCUGAUUGCCCGUGUUAAUGAUCUCCAUGUUGGAGGGUAGAUUGCUAUACCAGAAUUUAUGCAUACCUAGUUUUAGUGUUGUCCAUUUUUGGCUAGUUUAGUGUUGACCAAUG